rnacentral:rRNA from 1 species
CCUACGGGGGGCAGCAGUGGGGGAUAUUGCACAAUGGGGGAAACCCUGAUGCAGCGACGCCGCGUGUGGGAAGACGGUCUUCUGGAUUGUAAACCACUGUCCCCAGGGACGAAAAUGACGGUACCUGGGGAGGAAGCUCCGGCUAACUACGUGCCAGCAGCCGCGGUAAUACGUAGGGAGCAAGCGUUGUCCGGAAUUACUGGGUGUAAAGGGAGCGUAGGCGGGGAUGCAAGUUGGGUGUCAAAACUACCGGCUCAACCGAUAGUCGCACUCAAAACUGCAACUCUUGAGUGAAGUAGAGGCAGGCGGAAUUCCUAGUGUAGCGGUGAAAUGCGUAGAUAUUAGGAGGAACACCAGGGGCGAAGGCGGCCUGCUGGGCUUUUACUGACGCUGAGGCUCGAAAGUGUGGGGAGCAAACAGGAUUAGAUACCCUUGUAGUC